AAAAUGGUGCAAUACAUAUAUGGGGAAGCAGAGACCGGUAGAACACCCUGGAAUACCAUUAGCUAUGAGUUGGGGAUCAUGUUUCCCAAUAUCGUGCACAGAUACUGCAGUGGCAACUAUAAUCGAAGAACUUACAUCGAUGGUAAUUUUGCCCGAAAUAAUUGAGACCUCAUGCCCACUGCCGAUCACACGGAUUGACACAAUUGAUAUUAUUGCAAUAGUUAUUUGUUGUCUAUUUCUUGUGCUGGUUAUUAUUGGCACCGCAUACGAAUUCUACACAAACAACUCGGUACAAAGUGUGCGGUAUCAGGACCACAGUACAAACAAACCUCAUCGCAAACAGCAAGG